UACGAGGGGGGCGAGCGUUGUUCGGAAUUAUUGGGCGUAAAGGGUGCGUAGGCGGUUUGGUAAGUCUGAUGUGAAAGCCCCGGGCUCAACCUGGGAAUUGCAUUGGAAACUAGCGGGCUGGAGUGUGGCAGAGGGGGGUGGAAUUCCACGUGUAGCAGUGAAAUGCGUAGAGAUGUGGAGGAACACCGAUGGCGAAGGCAGCCCCUGGGCUAACACUGACGCUCAUGCACGAAAGCGUGGGGAGCAAACAGG
rnacentral:rRNA from 1 species